rnacentral:rRNA from 1 species
AUUGAACGCUGGCGGCAUGCCUUACACAUGCAAGUCGAACGGCAGCACGGGUGCUUGCACCUGGUGGCGAGUGGCGAACGGGUGAGUAAUACAUCGGAACAUGUCCUGUAGUGGGGGAUAGCCCGGCGAAAGCCGGAUUAAUACCGCAUACGAUCUACGGAUGAAAGCGGGGGACCUUCGGGCCUCGCGCUAUAGGGUUGGCCGAUGGCUGAUUAGCUAGUUGGUGGGGUAAAGGCCUACCAAGGCGACGAUCAGUAGCUGGUCUGAGAGGACGACCAGCCACACUGGGACUGAGACACGGCCCAGACGCCUACGGGAGGCAGCAGUGGGGAAUUUUGGACAAUGGGCGAAAGCCUGAUCCAGCAAUGCCGCGUGUGUGAAGAAGGCCUUCGGGUUGUAAAGCACUUUUGUCCGGAAAGAAAUCCUUGGCUCUAAUACAGUCGGGGGAUGACGGUACCGGAAGAAUAAGCACCGGCUAACUACGUG